rnacentral:rRNA from 1 species
UACGUAGGUGGCAAGCGUUGUCCGGAUUUACUGGGCGUAAAGAGCGCGCAGGCGGUCGUUCAAGUCGCGUGUGAAAGCCCCCGGCUCAACUGGGGAGGGUCACGCGAUACUGAUCGACUCGAAGGCAGGAGAGGGAAGUGGAAUUCCCGGUGUAGUGGUGAAAUGCGUAGAUAUCGGGAGGAACACCUGCGGCGAAGGCGGGUUGCUGGGCUGACACUGACGCUGAGGAGCGAAAGCGUGGGGAGCGAACAGG